UACAGAGGUCUCAAGCGUUGUUCGGAUUCAUUGGGCGUAAAGGGCGCGUAGGCGGCCCGUCAAGUCCCGUGUGAAAGCCCCCGGCUCAGCCGGGGAACUGCACGGGAAACUAGCAGGCUUGAGUUCGGGAGAGGGAAGCGGAAUUUCGGGUGUAGCGGUGAAAUGCGCAGAUAUCCGAAGGAACACCGGUGGCGAAGGCGGCAUCCUGGACCGACACUGACGCUGAGGAGCGAAAGCCAGGGGAGCAAACGGG
rnacentral:rRNA from 1 species